UGAUGAUGAUGAUGAUGAUGACGAUGAUGAUGAUAAUAAUAAUAAUAAUUAUUAUUAUUAUUAUUAUUAUUAUCAUCAUCAUCAUCAUCAUCAUCA
rnacentral:pre_miRNA from 1 species